GUGGGGAAUAUUGGACAAUGGGGGGAACCCUGAUCCAGCCAUGCCGCGUGUGUGAAGAAGGCCUUUUGGUUGUAAAGCACUUUAAGCGAGGAGGAGGCUACCGAGAUUAAUACUCUUGGAUAGUGGACGUUACUCGCAGAAUAAGCACCGGCUAACUCUGUGCCAGCAGCCGCGGUAAUACAGAGGGUGCAAGCGUUAAUCGGAUUUACUGGGCGUAAAGCGCGCGUAGGUGGCCAAUUAAGUCAAAUGUGAAAUCCCCGAGCUUAACUUGGGAAUUGCAUUCGAUACUGGUUGGCUAGAGUAUGGGAGAGGAUGGUAGAAUUCCAGGUGUAGCGGUGAAAUGCGUAGAGAUCUGGAGGAAUACCGAUGGCGAAGGCAGCCAUCUGGCCUAAUACUGACACUGAGGUGCGAAAGCAUGGGGAGCAAACAGGAUUAGAUACCCGAGAGUCC
rnacentral:rRNA from 1 species